GAUGAACGCUAGCGGCAGGCCUAAUACAUGCAAGUCGGACGGGAUUGGAGAGCUUGCUUUUCCAUGAGAGUGGCGCACGGGUGCGUAACACGUAUGUAACCUACCUUGUUCAGGGGGGAUAGCCUCUCGAAAGAGAGAUUAAGACCGCAUAACAUCAUUGACUGGCAUCUGUUAAUGAUCAAAUAUUUAUAGGAACAAGA
rnacentral:rRNA from 1 species